rnacentral:rRNA from 1 species
AGAUUGAACGCUGGCGGCAGGCCUAACACAUGCAAGUCGAGCGGCAGCACGGGUACUUGUACCUGGUGGCGAGCGGCGGACGGGUGAGUAAUGCCUAGGAAUCUGCCUGGUAGUGGGGGAUAACGCUCGGAAACGGACGCUAAUACCGCAUACGUCCUACGGGAGAAAGCAGGGGACCUUCGGGCCUUGCGCUAUCAGAUGAGCCUAGGUCGGAUUAGCUAGUUGGUGGGGUAAUGGCUCACCAAGGCGACGGAUCCGUAACUGGUCUGAGAGGAUGAUCAGUCACACUGGAACUGAGACACGGUCCAGACUCCUACGGAGGCAGCAGUGGGGAAUAUUGGACAAUGGGCGAAAGCCUGAUCCAGCCAUGCCGCGUGUGUGAAGAAGGUCUUCGGAUUGUAAGCACUUUAAGUGGAGAAGGCGAAGUUACCUAAUACGUAUCUAGUUUUGACGUUACCGACUAGAAUUAAGCAACCGCUAACUCUGUGCCUAGCAA